GGUUCCAACCGGGCCGGACCCCAUCACCUCCGACCCUCCGCCGCCGCCGCCAUCGUUGGUCGUGUGAUAUGCGUGCAACAAUAUAAUCUUAAUUAGAGCCAUAUUAUACAUGCCUACGAGUUUUAAUUAAUUAAUUAAUGGGAUAUGUAAGGUGCAAUGCAAUAUUAUUUUCGUUGGGCACGGUGUUUUUAAUUAGUUAGAGUCAUGUACCGUCCCUACCGACCACAUACCAUUAUUGAGUGUAAGCUGCAAGACUUUACUUUGAUUCCAGUCUUGAAUAAAUGAUACAUUGCCGUGCA
rnacentral:lncRNA from 1 species